UUCAAUAGAAUAUGUGUGCACAUGGGUAAAUGCAAAAAACAAAUGGUACUAUCCUAAGCACAGUUCAGCAAUAGUACCUGUUAUGCGCACUGUGCUAAGAAAGUAGACCGCUUUUAAGCAUAAUUCAAUAUAAAGACACAAGAUCAUAAGGCGAAACAUAAAUCCACUGUUCAAGUUGUUGCUAGAAAAACUAAUAUUGAUCUGGUUCAUUAUCAGGUAUAUAUUUCCUUCCAUUCAUUGCAGUUAAACCGCUGUCUUCUUUCUCCAAUUAGUUCUGCUCAGUCAUAACUUAUUUGUAAUUUCAAUAAAGUAAUUUGUCAAGGAUCAACCUUAACAGAUAAUAAACUCGAAGGAGGGGGGAGAUUAUGAGAGAAGAGAGAGAAAGAGAGAGAGACUUUAGAGGAGAAUAGAGAAGAGAAGUAUAGAAGAGGGAAGAGAGAAUUGAUUAUGCUCAUGAAUCUUCUUGAUAACAACCGAGUCUCUUUACAGGCAUUUAUACACACUGAGCUAAUAGGUUUCAACAGAACAGUUAUUGGUAGUUAUAACAGAAGAACUUCUUUUCCCACCUUUUCCAGCUAAGAGAUUACUUCUUUCCAGAACCCUUUUCUCUUCUUCCGGAAGUAUGUGACAUAAUUUUUUUCGGGUCUAGAGCAAUAUGUGGGCUCUUUUAUUCCAGUAGUUCUAACAAGAUCUCAAAUCAAAGAAUCUUGCAAACUCAUUAGAAUCUGCAUCUGUUCUUCUAUCCAAAUUACUCAUUACUUUUAUUUGUGUCCCUCAAAGGACAUGAUUGAUUCUAUCAUCCUUACUGUAUGAACGCCUUAGUGAAAAAUACU
rnacentral:lncRNA from 1 species